UUGCGGCGGGUAAGUCCUACACGGCCAGCUCCCUGUCAAUCCCCCCAGGGCUUGACCGCAGCAAGGGUAGCAGGUCGUAGCGGCGCGAUGUAGAUCGCUUACCCGCUU
rfam:Bacteroides sp. CAG:144 genomic scaffold, scf29